UGCCAGCCGCCGCGGUAAUACGGAGGGUGCAAGCGUUGUUCGGAAUUAUUGGGCGUAAAGGGCGCGCAGGCGGUCUUGUCCGUCAGAUGUGAAAGCCAGUGGCUCAACCAUUGAACUGCAUUUGAAACUGGCGAACUUGAGUACGGGAGAGGAAAGUGGAAUUCCGAGUGUAGGGGUGAAAUCCGUAGAUAUUCGGAGGAACACCAGUGGCGAAGGCGGCUUUCUGGACCGAUACUGACGCUGAGACGCGAAAGCGUGGGGAGCAAACAGGAUUAGAUA
rnacentral:rRNA from 1 species